rnacentral:rRNA from 1 species
AUGGAUAAUGCUGCCUAUGCAUAUAGUGAACACAAAUUUAACAUUGAAAUGAAUGACCUUAGAGCUGAAUGUCAGGAAGCUUGGGAGUGGCUUUGUCAAAUACCCAAGAAAACAUGGGCAAGGCAUGCAUUUGACACAAACUGCAAGACUGACCUUGUAGUUAACAAUUUGUCUGAGGUGUUCAACAAGUAUGUCCUAGAUGUUAGGAAGAAACCAAUUAGGACAAUGUGUGAUGGAAUAAAGGAUAAACAGAUGAUGAGGUGGCAUAGGAAUAGGGAGAGUGCAAAGACAGCUAGAUGGGACAUAACACACCAUUAUAGUGAGAAGCUAGAGGUUGAGAAGGAGAGGGCCAAAUAUUGCAAACCAAUUCAAGCUGGUGUGAACUUGUGGCAGGUUACAAGUGGGCAGCAAACCCAUGCUGUUGACUUGCAAGUGCACACAUGUGGGUGCAGAAAAUGGGACCUCAGUGGCAUCCCAUGUAACCAUGCCAUCUCAGCAAUCAACAAGGGCAAAAGAAAACCAGAGGAUUAUGUCAGCAAGUUCUUCAAGAAAGAAUUUUAUGUGGCAGCUUAUGAACCAAUGAUCUAUCCAGUUCCUGGUGAGCAUGAUUGGACAAAGACCCCUGGUCCAGACAUUGACCCACCUGCAUUUAAAGUGAAGAGAGGAAGAAAGAAAGAGAAGAGGAUCAAGGGGAAAUUUGAAGUUCCAAAGCCUAAGGACACAUCAAGAAUGGGGACUAUAACAUGUGGCAAUUGUGGACUGCAAGGACAUAGGUACACAAGCUGCCUCAAGCAGUUGAAGCCUGAGCUGGCUUUGAGGAAGAACAAACAUGUGCCUCUUGCAAGGAAUUCCAAUGGUGGUGGUGCUGCUACUACACCAGCAACAACAACCUCUCAUGCAGCUCCUACAACAACACCAACAGCUGGGAGAGGAGCUGGGAGAGGAGAUGGGAGAGGAGCUGGGAGAGGUGCUGCAGCAGCUCAAGCUGCUGGAAGAGGUGCUGUGAGAGGUGCUGCACCAGGUGCUGCAAGAGGUGUUGGGAGAGGGAGAGGUGCAUUCUCUGCCCCAAGACAAUCUGGUCCCUCCACAUCUACUGCUCCCUCCACAUCUGUUGCUGGGAGAGGUGCUGGUGGUAGACAUACUGGAUGGGGGAGGUACUUCUAUGCAAGUGGUAACUAG